CCGCGGUUAUACGAGAGACCCUAGUUGAUAUAUACGGCGUAAAGAGUGGUUUGGAAUAACCAAGUAAUAUAGCCAAAGACCUCCCAAGCCGUCACACGCACCCCGGAGGCACGAAGCCCAAACACGAAAGUAGCUUUAUUAACUUACCGACGCCACGAAAGCUAAGAAACAAACU
rnacentral:rRNA from 1 species